rnacentral:lncRNA from 1 species
GAGGGAGAGAGUGAGAGAGCAAGAGAGAGAGAGAGAGAGCAAGAGAGAGAGAGAGAGAGAGAGAGAGAGAGAGAGAGAGAGAGAGAGAGAGAGAGAGAGAGAGAGAGAGAGAGAGAGAGAGAGAGAGAGAGAGAGAGAGAGAGAGCCACAGUAUGCGAUCUUUAAGUUAUACUAUAGACGUGAGCUAUAAAUUACAUCUGAAAUGUAAUGUUAAUACAUAUCUCUACCUUUCAUCGCUGUACCUUGAUUUAUAUUUGAUAAUGUUCCCUCUGUAGCAUGAUUAAGUGGGAGAUGUUGACAACAGUAGUAACAUUAGGCUUUGAGGGGCUAUAGCUCCUUUAUCUAAUAAGGGAGCUACACAUGUAUACUGUACACACACACACACACACACACACACACACACACACACACACACACAGAGAGAAAAACUGAGAAGCCUGACUGAGCGAUCCGACUGCCCUCCUAUUUUUAGCCCACUGUCUCGACAUCAAAGCCUUGUUUUAUGGUUGAUCUUCUCCCUUCCAAUAGUAUUGCUUUGCUUAUAGGAACAAUGGUCCAGCCUCUUCCUCCUCUCUCUGUCUAAUGCUUGUGUAAUGGGGCUUAGUCUGACUGUAAAGUGUAUUUCACUUUGGGAAAGGAGGUAGUGAGACUGCUCUUUGUUGUUGAUAUUAUGGAUUAGGUGUAAAGUCAUUAAAGCAUGAAGGGGAAGAAGCACAGCAGGCUUGAGGCAUUUUAGUUUGCAUAACACAAUAGAGCUAGUUUGUAUCUAGUUUCCCCCAAUGGUUCACCCUCAGUCAACUAGCCGUAACCUUGCAUUAAUGUCGGUGUUCUAUGACAUAAUGAUAUAUGACAUAAAACACUGUCGCAAGACAGAUAGCACAUUAGCUUUGGCUGAAUUGUCAUAUUGUAGCCACUGUCGUCUCUGCAAGGUCUUGAACAGGGUAAACGGAAGGUCUCUGGAGGCAGUGAGCUGGUGCUCCGGAUGCAUUGGACAGAUAAGUUGGACCACCAAAGAGCUGCAUCCAUCAUUUUCCCUCCUCUUCUGUCGUUCUGUCCCCCCUUCCUGCCGCAACACACACACACACACACUGGUACCGUAGCCUGUCCCCACCAGGAUUAGAUAUCGUAGAUAUUGUCUUAGAUACAGUCUUAUCAGGGGCAGGAUAAAAGGUUGUUUUGUUCACUGACUGGCAGACACCUUGUGGGGCUGUGACAACAUGGCAAGCCUAAUAAACAGUCUGGGACAUGCAGAGAGAGGGAAUGGGGGAGAGGAGGAGGGGAGAAGAAGGGGUAGGAGGAAAGAGAGUAGGAGAGGGAGAAUGAGAAAAGGUAGAAGAAGGAGGAGAAGAGAGUGUAGGAUCAAGAAGAAGACAGAAAGGUGAAAGGAGGAGAAGAGAGUGUAGGAUCAAGAAGAAGACAGAAAGGUGAAAGGAGGAGAAGAGAGUGUAGGAUCAAGAAGAAGACAGAAAGGUGAAAGGAGGAGAAGAGAGUGUAGGAUCAAGAAGAAAGAAAGGUGAAAGGAGGAGAAGAGUGUGUAGGAUCAAGAAGAAAGAAAGGUGAAAGGAGGAGAAGAGUGUAGGAUCAAGAAGAAGACAGAAAGGUGAAAGGAGGAGAAAAGGAAGAAAGAGAGGAGAGAUGUGCAGUACCAGUGAUGUCAUCAAGCAGAGGAAUGCUUUCUCACAGGGGUGGACCCCCAGAGGGUACAUGGACAGGACCAAGUGUGCACGUCCGCCUGCCUUCACACACACACACACACACACACACACACACACACACACACACACAUACACAAACGGAGGGAAAAGGGUGGCACAGAGAGAGAGCCCUGGCCCCUGUCAAGCAGGUCCGAUAGGACCUAGGGGGUAUCAACAAUGAUUCCCGCUAGGCAGUGCUCGGAGGAUAUGCAUCGAGAAAGGAAUUCAAUAACAGGAAAACGGAUCUGAUACAAACAAUCCAUGGAAUACUGAAACCCACCCUGGUCACUGUUAUGUUUGGCACGAUACGACCCCUUCUUCUAUCACCUGUUCUUAAUGAUGUCACGGGUACUGGACUCCACGGUAGUGUUACUACACGUUGUUGUCGGUUGUCAUACGUUUACUGUCUGAUGGUGUGUCAUAUGGAAAGAAGUUUCCAGAGCAUCGUCAGUGGGUGUGUGUGUCUCUGUGCGCCCGCGAGAGUGUGUACGUGUGUGCGGGUGUGUGUGUGUGUGUAACUUUACCACAGCAACUACUUAAAACAGUAUCAGCCGGUCUGAAGUCAUUUCCUUAGGCUGAGGGAUGAGGCCUGAGUUCUGAACAGCUAGAUGGCUGACUGCCUGGGUUUUUAAUUUGGCUGCUGCUGUGUGGUUUUGACAAUGGAAGAG